CUAAGGGCAAUUGGCGGAUGCCUUGGUGCCAGGAGGCGAUGAAGGACGUGGAAGGCUGCGAUAAGCCUCGGUGAGCCGUCUAACAGGCUUUGACCCGGGGAUUUCCGAAUGGGGCAACCCGGCUGGAGUCAUGUCCAGUCAUCCGGAUUUAUCCGGAGGCGAACUCGGGGAAGUGAAACAUCUCAGUACCCGAAGGAAAAGAAAUCAAGAGAGAUUCCCAAAGUAGUGGCGAGCGAAAUGGGAAGAGCCCAAACCGUGCGGUUUCGACCGUGCGGGGUUGUAGGGCCUUCAUAAAGCGAUCUGCGAGUAGGUAGCGGAAGCACUUGGGAAGGUGCUCCAGAGAGGGUGACAGGCCCGUACGCGAAACCGAACAGCAGCGCUGAAGGUACCUGAGUACCGCGGGGCACGUGAAACCCCGUGGGAAUCCGGGAGGACCAUCUCCCAAGGCUAAAUACUCCCUGGCGACCGAUAGCGAACUAGUACCGUGAGGGAAAGGUGAAAAGAACCCCUGUUAGGGGAGUGAAACGAGAACCUGAAACCAAUUGCCUACAAGCGGUUCGAGCCAUUGUGCGUUUUCUUCGGAAGACGUUCAGGGUGAGAGCGUGCCUUUUGCAUAAUGAGCCAGCGAGUUUAUUUGUAGUGCGAGGUUAAGCCUUUCUGAGGCGUAGCCGCAGCGAAAGCGAGUCUGAAUAGGGCGAUUGAGUACUGCGGAUAAGACCCGAAACCGAGUGAUCUAUCCAUGGGCAGAGUGAAGCUUGGGUAAAACCAAGUGGAGGCUCGAACCAAUAAGGGCUGAAAACCUUUUGGAUGACCUGUGGAUAGGGGUGAAAGACCAAUCAAACUCGGUGAUAGCUGGUUCUCCCCGAAAUAUAUUGAGGUAUAGCCUCAGGUAAUUCGCGCACGGAGGUAGAGCACUGAAAGGGCUAGGGGCCCCACCAGGUUACCAAACCCUAUCAAACUCCGAAUGCCGUGCGUUUUAUCCUGGGAGUCAGACUGUGGGUGAGAAGGUCCAUAGUCAAGAGGGAAACAGCCCAGACCGUCGGCUAAGGCCUCCAAAUUCGUGCUCAGUGGGAAAGGAAGUGGAGUUGUUCAGACAGCCAGGAGGUUGGCUUAGAAGCAGCCAUCCUUUAAAGAAAGCGUAAUAGCUCACUGGUCUAGUGAUUCCGCGCCGAAAAUGUAACGAGGCUAAGCACGAUGCCGAAGCCACGGGUGUGCGUUUUAACGUACGCGGUAGGGGAGCGUUCCUCGCGGGAUGAAGGUGAACCGGAAGGUUUGCUGGACUUCGGGGAAGUGAUCAUGCUGGCAUGAGUAACGAUAAAANNNGUGAGAAACNNNUUCGCCGUAANCCCNAGGUUUCCUGGGUAAAGNUAAUCUNCCCAGGGUNAGUCGGCCCCUAAGGCGAGGCUGAAAAGCGUAGCUGAUGGGAAACAGGUUAAUAUUCCUGUACCUGUGAGACAUCGUUUGAGUGAUGGGGGGACGCGGAAGGGUAGGUCAUCCGGGUGUUGGAUGUCCCGGUUCAAGGUAGUAGGCUGGCUUCGUAGGCAAAUCCGCGAAGCUUUAAGCCGAGAACUGAUGACGAGUCUUUAAGACGAAGUGACUNAUCCCAUGCCGCCGAGAAAAGCCUCUAAACGAGAUGUCUUUCAGACCGUACCGCAAACCAACACAGGUGGGCGGGGAGAGUAUCCCAAGGCGCUUGAGAAAACUCUGGUCAAGGAACUCGGCAAAAUGACCCCGUAACUUCGGGAGAAGGGGUGCUCUUUUUUGUGAAGGGACUUGCUCCCUGAGCAUCGAAGAGUCGCAGAGAAACGGCGGGGGCGACUGUUUACUAAAAACACAGGUCUGUGCGAAGUCGUAAGACGCGGUAUACAGACUGACGCCUGCCCGGUGCCGGAAGGUUAAGGGGAGAGGUUAGGGCAACCGAAGCUUUGAACCGAAGCCCCGGUAAACGGCGGCCGUAACUAUAACGGUCCUAAGGUAGCGAAAUUCCUUGUCGGGUAAGUUCCGACCUGCACGAAUGGCGUAACGAUCUCCGCGCUGUCUCGACCAGAGACUCAGUGAAAUUGAAGUGGCGGUGCAAAUGCCGUCUACCCGCAGCAAGACGGAAAGACCCUGUGCACCUUUACUAUAACCUGGCAUUGGGUUUUGGGGCAUCAUGUGUAGGAUAGGUGGGAGGCUAUGAAGUCUGUACGCCAGUAUGGGCGGAGCCAUCGUUGAAAUACCACCCUUGUUGUUCUAAAACUCUAAUACUGGUCAGUGAACCCUGACCGUAGACAGUGCCAGGCGGGUAGUUUGACUGGGGCGGUCGCCUCCCAAAGAGUAACGGAGGCGUGCAAAGGUUCCCUCAGGCUGAUUGGAAACCAGCCGUUGAGUGCAAAGGCAUAAGGGAGCUUGACUGUGAGAGAGACAUCUCGAACAGGGACGAAAGUCGGCCUUAGUGAUCCGGUGGUCCCGCAUGGAAGGGCCAUCGCUCAUCGGAUAAAAGGUACGCCGGGGAUAACAGGCUGAUCGCGUCCAAGAGUUCACAUCGACGACGCGGUUUGGCACCUCGAUGUCGGCUCAUCACAUCCUGGGGCUGGAGCAGGUCCCAAGGGUACGGCUGUUCGCCGUUUAAAGUGGUACGCGAGCUGGGUUUAAAACGUCGUGAGACAGUUUGGUCCCUAUCUGCUGUGGGCGGAGGAGACUUGAGAGGGCCUGUCCCUAGUACGAGAGGACCGGGAUGGACGAACCUCUGGUGGACCAGUUGUCGCGCCAGCGGCACAGCUGGGUAGCUACGUUCGGCAAGGAUAACCGCUGAAAGCAUCUAAGCGGGAAGCCUGCCUCAAGAUUAGGUCUCCCUGGAAGUGAUUCCCUAAAGGUCCCUGGUAGACCACCAGGUUGAUAGGCUGGAGGUGUACGCGCAGCGAUGCGCUCAGCUGACCAGUACUAAUAGACCGUGAGUCUUAACC
rnacentral:rRNA from 1 species